CAGUAGCCGCGGUAAUACGUAGGGUGCGAGCGUUUAUCGGAAUUACUGGGCGUAAAGCGUGCGCAGGCGGUUUUGUAAGACAGGCGUGAAAUCCCCGGGCUCAACCUGGGAAUGGCGCUUGUGACUGCAAAGCUAGAGUGCGGCAGAGGGGGAUGGAAUUCCGCGUGUAGCAGUGAAAUGCGUAGAUAUGCGGAGGAACACCGAUGGCGAAGGCAAUCCCCUGGGCCUGCACUGACGCUCAUGCACGAAAGCGUGGGGAGCAAACAGGAUUAGAUACCCCUGUAGUCCCUGUCUCUUAUAC
rnacentral:rRNA from 1 species